AACUUUUACACAUCAGACCAACCCACAUUCAAAUAUAUUGGAAACUUCGCUGACGAUUAAGUUAUCCUGCCCCUCCACCAUAAACCUCUUGAGGCAUCAAACAGGACCCAGACUCACCUCAACAUGUUGUCAGCGUGGUACAAAGAGCCCCUCUCUUUUAAAGUUAAUGAAUUGAAAUUUAUUCACUGCACAUUUACGCUCAGAUAUAUUUUCUGACCCUCUAUCACACUCAACAACCAAUCUCUCCCAACUACUCAAAAUGUUCGCUACCUCGGUCUAUAUCUAGAUCGCCGUCUUCCUUGGGCUAUCUACAUACGUAACAAACGACUAAUCCUUAAAAACCG